UACGAAGGGGGCUAGCGUUGCUCGGAAUUACUGGGCGUAAAGGGCGCGUAGGCGGCCGUUUGCGUCGGAUGUGAAAGCCCGGGGCUCAACCUCGGAACGGCAUUCGAUACGGGACGGCUGGAGACCGGGAGAGGAGAGUGGAAUAGCCAGUGUAGAGGUGAAAUUCGUAGAUAUUGGCUGGAACACCGGUGGCGAAAGCGGCUCUCCGGCCCGGUUCUGACGCUGAGGCGCGAAAGCGUGGGGAGCAAACAGG
rnacentral:rRNA from 1 species